GAAUAUUGGACAAUGGGCGAAAGCCUGAUCCAGCAAUGCCGCGUGAGUGAUGAAGGCCUUAGGGUUGUAAAGCCCUUUUACCAGGGAUGAUAAUGACAGUACCUGGAGAAUAAGCUCCGGCUAACUCCGUGCCAGCAGCCGCGGUAAUACGGAGGGAGCUAGCGUUGUUCGGAAUUACUGGGCGUAAAGCGCACGUAGGCGGCGCAUUAAGUCAGGUGUGAAAGCCCUGGGCUCAACCCAGGAAUAGCACUUGAUACUGAUGCGCUUGAAUUCGGGAGAGGAUGACGGGAUUCCCAGUGUAGAGGUGAAAUUCAUUGAUAUUGGGAAGAACACCAGUGGCGAAGGCGGUCAUCUGGCCCGUAAUUGACGCUGAGGCGCGAAAGCGUGGGGAGCAAACAGG
rnacentral:rRNA from 1 species